GACGAACGCUGGCGGCGUGCUUAACACAUGCAAGUCGAACGGAAAGGCCCUGCUUUUGUGGGGUGCUCGAGUGGCGAACGGGUGAGUAACACGUGAGUAACCUGCCCUUGACUUUGGGAUAACUUCAGGAAACUGGGGCUAAUACCGGAUAGGAGCUCCUGCUGCAUGGUGGGGGUUGGAAAGUUUCGGCGGUUGGGGAUGGACUCGCGGCUUAUCAGCUUGUUGGUGGGGUAGUGGCUUACCAAGGCUUUGACGGGUAGCCGGGCUGAUCGGGUGACCGGCCACGUCGGAACGGAAAUGCGACCCGGACUAGACCGGUACGCAGGGGUGGGGAAUGUAGCACUAUGGGCGGAGGCCUGAUGCAGCAACGCCGCGUGGGGGAUGUGAGCAUUCGGGUUGUAUUCCGCUUUCGCCUGUGACGAAGCGUGAGUGACGGUAAUGGGUAAAGAAGCACCGGCUAACUACGUG
rnacentral:rRNA from 1 species